rnacentral:misc_RNA from 1 species
GACAGGGGAUGCAAGCGUUACUCGGAAUUACUGGGCGUAAAGCGUCUGCAGGCGUCCCAUCAAGUCUGGCGUAAAAGCACGGAGCUUAACUCCGUGUAUGCGUUGGAAACUGAUGGGAUCGAGUCACUCAGAGGCAUCUGGAAUGCCGUGUGUAGGGGUAAAAUCCGUAGAUCCACGGUGGAACGCCAAAAGCGAAAGCAGGGUGCUGGGAGUGUACUGACGCUCAGAGACGAAAGCGUGGGGAGCAAAGGGG